rnacentral:rRNA from 1 species
GCGGACAGAUGGGAGCUUGCUCCCUGAUGUUAGCGGCGGACGGGUGAGUAACACGUGGGUAACCUGCCUGUAAGACUGGGAUAACUCCGGGAAACCGGGGCUAAUACCGGAUGGUUGUUUGAACCGCAUGGUUCAAACAUAAAAGGUGGCUUCGGCUACCACUUACAGAUGGACCCGCGGCGCAUUAGCUAGUUGGUGAGGUAACGGCUCACCAAGGCAACGAUGCGUAGCCGACCUGAGAGGGUGAUCGGCCACACUGGGACUGAGACACGGCCCAGACUCCUACGGGAGGCAGCAGUAGGGAAUCUUCCGCAAUGGACGAAAGUCUGACGGAGCAACGCCGCGUGAGUGAUGAAGGUUUUCGGAUCGUAAAGCUCUGUUGUUAGGGAAGAACAAGUACCGUUCGAAUAGGGCGGUACCUUGACGGUACCUAACCAGAAAGCCACGGCUAACUACGUGCCAGCAGCCGCGGUAAUACGUAGGUGGCAAGCGUUGUCCGGAAUUAUUGGGCGUAAAGGGCUCGCAGGCGGUUUCUUAAGUCUGAUGUGAAAGCCCCCGGCUCAACCGGGGAGGGUCAUUGGAAACUGGGGAACUUGAGUGCAGAAGAGGAGAGUGGAAUUCCACGUGUAGCGGUGAAAUGCGUAGAGAUGUGGAGGAACACCAGUGGCGAAGGCGACUCUCUGGUCUGUAACUGACGCUGAGGAGCGAAAGCGUGGGGAGCGAACAGGAUUAGAUACCCUGGUAGUCCACGCCGUAAACGAUGAGUGCUAAGUGUUA